GCGGAAACGAGUUAUCUGAACCUUCGGGGGACGAUAACGGCGUCGAGCGGCGGACGGGUGAGUAAUGCCUAGGAAAUUGCCCUGAUGUGGGGGAUAACCAUUGGAAACGAUGGCUAAUACCGCAUAAUGCCUACGGGCCAAAGAGGGGGACCUUCGGGCCUCUCGCGUCAGGAUAUGCCUAGGUGGGAUUAGCUAGUUGGUGAGGUAAUGGCUCACCAAGGCGACGAUCCCUAGCUGGUCUGAGAGGAUGAUCAGCCACACUGGAACUGAGACACGGUCCAGACUCCUACGGGAGGCAGCAGUGGGGAAUAUUGCACAAUGGGCGCAAGCCUGAUGCAGCCAUGCCGCGUGUGUGAAGAAGGCCUUCGGGUUGUAAAGCACUUUCAGUCGUGAGGAAGGUGGUGUAGUUAAUAGCUGCAUUACUUGACGUUAGCGACAGAAGAAGCACCGGCUAACUCCGUGCCAGCAGCCGCGGUAAUACGGAGGGUGCGAGCGUUAAUCGGAAUUACUGGGCGUAAAGCGCAUGCAGGUGGUUUGUUAAGUCAGAUGUGAAAGCCCGGGGCUCAACCUCGGAAUAGCAUUUGAAACUGGCAGACUAGAGUACUGUAG
rnacentral:rRNA from 1 species